UGGAUGACGAAACACGAAUUUGAAUGACUGAACAGUUAGGUUUGGAGGCAAUUACCCCUUGGUAAAGGAAAACCUACCUCAGCACUGAUAAAUGAUUUUACGAAUUAAUUAUAUGAUCUCAACACAAGCUCUUCUGAAGAAGGCAGUUUUUGACGAACAUAGGCAACCAUACGGGCAAGUGGAAAGGGAUGUUUGCUGGCAACUACUCCGGUAAAAGAAAAAACAGAAGAAAAGUUAUUGGUUCGAGCGUUUCGGCAACAGAGAGAAAUCAGACGAUAGCCGUAAAACUAGCAUUUUUAUUUAGAACUUUACUUGAACUCGAUUUUGGGGAACUUUAUGUAACGGCUGUAAUCGAAUAUUGUUGUUUAAAUGAUUAUCCUCCAAAACUAAAAAUGUAAAUAAUAUUAUGUCAAUAUAAAACUAAGAAA